GUUACAGUCAGGUAUGGGACAGGGACAGUGGAGGAGGAUAGUUACAGUCAGGUAUGGGACAGGGACAGGGACAGUGGAGGAGGAUAGUUACAGUCAGGUAUGGGACAGGGACAGUGGAGGAGGAUAGUUACAGUCAGGUAUGGGACAGGGACAGGGACAGUGGAGGAGGAUAGUUACAGUCAGGUAUGGGACAGGGACAGGGACAGUGGAGGAGGAUAGUUACAGCCAGGUAUGGGACAGGGACAGUGGAGGAGGAUAGUUACAGCCAGGUAUGGGACAGGGACAGUGGAGGAGGAUAGUUACAGCCAGGUAUGGGACAGGGACAGUGGAGGAGGAUAGUUACAGUCAGGUAUGGGACAGGGACAGGGACAGUGGAGGAGGAUAGUUACAGCCAGGUAUGGGACAGGGACAGUGGAGGAGGAUAGUUACAGUCAGGUAUGGGACAGGGACAGGGACAGUGGAGGAGGAUAGUUACAGUCAGGUAUGGGACAGGGACAGUGGAGGAGGAUAGUUACAGCCAGGUAUGGGACAGGGACAGUGGAGGAGGAUAGUUACAGUCAGGUAUGGGACAGGGACAGUGGAGGAGGAUAGUUACAGCCAGGUAUGGGACAGGGACAGUGGAGGAGGAUAGUUACAGUCAGGUAUGGGACAGGGACAGGGACAGUGGAGGAGGAUAGUUACAGCCAGGUAUGGGACAGGGACAGUGGAGGAGGAUAGUUAC